rnacentral:lncRNA from 1 species
GUUUUCUUAAACAUAUUUCUUUGUCAUUUUACUUUCAAUGCUAUUUUCCUAAAAUUUAAAUUUCAAAUUCCUAAGUAAAUUUCAUAAAAAAAUCCCUAUUCAACAUAUAAUGUACAUACCAUUAUUUUUUCAUUCUAAAUAUAUUUCAUAAAAUAUAUAUGCUAAACAAAAUAAUAAAAUAACUAUAAUGUACAUAACAUAAAUUUUAAACACACAAAUAUUAGAAAAAAAUUUAAAUUUAUAAAAAAAAUACCUUUUCUUUUCUUUUUUUCUCCUUCCUUCCCUCUUCUUCUUUUUUUUUUUUCUCUUCUCCUUUCCUUUCCUUUUCUUUCCUUCUUUCUUUCUUUUUUCUUCUUCUUUCUUUCUUUUUUUCUCUUCUCCUUUCCUUUUCUUUCCUUCUUUUUCUUUCUUUCUUUCUUUCUUUCCCUCUCCUUUUGGUCCCCCCACCACCGACCCCCCCUAAUAUACAUUGGUGCCGCCAAUCUCAUUGGUGUGACCAGUUAAAUGUCACAUCAAUC